rnacentral:rRNA from 1 species
UGGGGAAUAUUGCACAAUGGGCGCAAGCCUGAUGCAGCCAUGCCGCGUGUAUGAAGAAGGCCUUCGGGUUGUAAAGUACUUUCAGCGGGGAGGAAGGUGUUGUGGUUAAUAACCACAGCAAUUGACGUUACCCGCAGAAGAAGCACCGGCUAUCUCCGUGCCAGCAGCCGCGGUAAUACGGAGGGUGCAAGCGUUAAUCGGAAUUACUGGGCGUAAAGCGCACGCAGGCGGUCUGUCAAGUCGGAUGUGAAAUCCCCGGGCUCAACCUGGGAACUGCAUCCGAAACUGGCAGGCUUGAGUCUUGUAGAGGGGGGUAGAAUUCCAGGUGUAGCGGUGAAAUGCGUAGAGAUCUGGAGGAAUACCGGUGGCGAAGGCGGCCCCCUGGACAAAGACUGACGCUCAGGUGCGAAAGCGUGGGGAGCAAACA